rnacentral:lncRNA from 1 species
UAUUGACAUAUAUUUCUCCAUCCUCACUCAGUUCCACUCCAACAGAGUCAUGUGCAAAGACGUGAUUGUAUUUGGUUUGGUGAAGACACUGCAGCAACAGAAGGUUCUUGGCUUCUGCUGGAAUGAGACCAACAUGCCUUAAGAGCACCUCUAAGCUCUUCUCAGAGGUGAUGUAAGGCCAUCAGAGGAUGACAGCGGAUUGAAACUAGAUCUGUCACAUCUCACUGUGCUGCUCAUCAGUAUCCACCUCUGCCCAUCACUGGAAGCACUGGUCAAUGUACAGGACCCCAAACAUCCUCCUUCACCCACCAGUUAAACAGGAGCCAACAGCAGCUGCAAGUGUCUUAGACCAUUCGAGUUACAAUCUACCAUACAUCCUUACAGUGCAAAUCGCUACACAGCAAAGCGUAAGGCAGAUACAUCAGACUUGUCCAGUUCAUAAUGUGGAGCAGUAUAAUGAUGGCACACCUAAUAGCCCAUUCUUCCGAAAGAGAACCACUCUAGCCCCCCUCCCCCACAGUGCAUCAUGCAGUAGACUGGUGAAAGUUCAGAGAUGGCACUGCUUUGAGAGAGGGACAGAAAGCUCUCGGAUGCAAUUCAUCUCAGAGAACUUGCUCGGAGCUCGAUGAGGAAAUGUCCAAUAGCCUCCAUGCAGCGUAGGGGUUGAGUUCAUCCUGGUCUCUGCAAAGUGCCCACACAUACAGCAUCCGCAGAACCUUGUCCGGGUCACCUUCUACCACUUCCCCUUUCUGGUUCUUAAUUACCAUCACGAUCUGAGCUUGAAAAGUGAUGAUUAAUACUGGUCCCUGCUCCAUCAUUUUUCCCAUGGCCAGCUGCAAUUAAAGAAAACUUUAUUAGAAAAUGCAGUAUUUUUGCAGAUUAAUGUAGAAGCACCAAGUAUUUAGCACAGCUACACAGCCUGCUCUCCCCCAG